rnacentral:rRNA from 1 species
GAUGAACGCUGGCGGCGUGCUUAACACAUGCAAGUCGAACGGAGAGCCAAUGACGGAGUUUUCGGACAACGGAUUUGGUUUCUUAGUGGCGGACGGGUGAGUAACGCGUGAGCAACCUGCCUUGGAGUGGGGAAUAACAGCUGGAAACAGCUGCUAAUACCGCAUAAUGCAGCGAGGGACAUCCUCUUGCUGCCAAAGAUUUAUCGCUCUGAGAUGGACUCGCGUCUGAUUAGCUAGUUGGCGGGGUAACGGCCCACCAAGGCGACGAUCAGUAGCCGGACUGAGAGGUUGACCGGCCACAUCGGGACUGGGAUACGGCCCAG